rnacentral:rRNA from 1 species
UGCAAGUCGAGCGAAUGGAUUAGAGAGCUUGCUCUUAUGAAGUUAGCGGCGGACGGGUGAGUAACACGUGGGUAACCUGCCCAUAAGACUGGGAUAACUCCGGGAAACCGGGGCUAAUACCGGAUAAUAUUUUGAACUGCAUGGUUCGAAAUUGAAAGGCGGCUUCGGCUGUCACUUAUGGAUGGACCCGCGUCGCAUUAGCUAGUUGGUGAGGUAACGGCUCACCAAGGCAACGAUGCGUAGCCGACCUGAGAGGGUGAUCGGCCACACUGGGACUGAGACACGGCCCAGACUCCUACGGGAGGCAGCAGUAGGGAAUCUUCCGCAAUGGACGAAAGUCUGACGGAGCAACGCCGCGUGAGUGAUGAAGGCUUUCGGGUCGUAAAACUCUGUUGUUAGGGAAGAACAAGUGCUAGUUGAAUAAGCUGGCACCUUGACGGUACCUAACCAGAAAGCCACGGCUAACUACGUGCCAGCAGCCGCGGUAAUACGUAGGUGGCAAGCGUUAUCCGGAAUUAUUGGGCGUAAAGCGCGCGCAGGUGGUUUCUUAAGUCUGAUGUGAAAGCCCACGGCUCAACCGUGGAGGGUCAUUGGAAACUGGGAGACUUGAGUGCAGAAGAGGAAAGUGGAAUUCCAUGUGUAGCGGUGAAAUGCGUAGAGAUAUGGAGGAACACCAGUGGCGAAGGCGACUUUCUGGUCUGUAACUGACACUGAGGCGCGAAAGCGUGGGGAGCAAACA